rnacentral:sRNA from 1 species
UAGGUGUUCUAAGCUUUUUUUGGGUCUAGCUACUUUUCAAUGGCAGCAGGACUGUUUGCCAUGUGGCGACGAAGCCCCACAGCCAGAGCCAGUGCUCCCCCGCUUCCCGCUCCCGCACCCAGCCACUGGCGGUUCGCUCGCGAACAUGACUAAGCCAAACAACUUGACAACACUGUCGGGGAAUUGUUGCUGUCUUUGAGUCAAUUCAUAAGAAACGAGGAAACCCGCCGCCAUAUCGUUGUUGCUGCCGUAUUUAUUUAUCCAUUAAAAAUCCAUCUACGAUAAGGACAGCGAAUUGGCCAAAGAGCUUGGCAACAACAAUGGUAUCAGAACCACCAAAAGUCCCCCGAAGUCUGAAACUUUCUGUGCCAAAUCGAACGGAAGCGAUUCGAUAAGAACUAUCUCACACAACCCCUCUCAAUAUGGAAAAUCCAUCAUACGAAUAGUUUUCGAUGUGUGCUCAGAUGUACAUUUAUUUGGACAGUUGACGUACGAUAACGCUCAGCACUUGGUCGCCGAUGAUAUCACGAAGAAAGGUAAACAAUCUAAUCAAUAAACACAAUCAAGCGAGGACGAGUGGAACGCACUCAUCUAUUAGAGCAACACCUAUGUACAUACAUACAUACAUACAUAGGUAUACACGUAGACAAGUCUGCAUACGCCUAGAAAUGUACACGGAAAGAAAUUGGUCAUUGUCAUAUGAAGCUUGAGCUCAUCUUGUGACAUCAGAAUUAUAUUUUGAAACAUCACGAAAUGGUUUUCCUAUC